UCAUUUUCCAUAGCUGCUACACACAGAACUCUUAUGUAUAUAUGCUGAGUGACCUGCUUAAGGCGACUAUUGUUUCGACUAUCCCUGACUCUCUUCUUUGUUUGUAUCAAAUUCGUUCCUUCUUUCCUUCUAUUUCUUUUCCGAGUUUCUUCUCUGUCACUAUGGUAUUUUUCCAUCGAUCCUAUGUUAGUAUUCUUGCUUCUUUGUUGCUUUGGUUCUCUUACAUGCUUUCUUUAUCUCUUUAUUUUUCUUUUUGGUUGUUUGAUUAUGAUUAUAACCUGAUGCGACAAUGAUGAGAAAAUCUCUUAGAUUGAGUAACUUUUGGAUUUGAGACAGCUCAAACUGGGAGAUAUGGUCAAGCCUUUUCUUUGGCUUUUGUAUUUGUGGAAUGAAAGUAUGAAUUAUUGACUCUAAUUUUUCUCCCUAAUAUUUAAGAUUCCUUAUCAUAGUCGAUGAACCAAAAUAACAGUGAAAAUGAGAAGAGAAAUAAGAAUUGGGCAGGAUUUAUUUUCACACUUUCUUUAUGUUUUUUCUAUUAAAUUUUGAUCUGCGUCACUAUUUUGGCAUCUGAUUUAUGUAUUUUCUGGUUCUUUAAUUCUAUUGCCGCCCGGGGUUGACCUUUUGUUAACCUUUCCCAUCUCUGUUAUCUUGGAUGGAAUAAGGGCUUACUGAAAGCUAUUAGCAUAUGCCGAUCCGAGAACUUUAGAAACAUAUUCUUAUCUGACCUUCAAAAAUAACCGGCAAGAGAAACUUUUAGUAAUAGAAAUAAGAUUUGAUCAAAAUUAUGUCCGAUUGUAGCACACAUACAUUCUCCAGCUUUGAGGUUCAUUAACCAAUGAUUUUCGCAAUCUCAAAUCUAGAGAUUGUGUGUUUCCUUUGAUUGCUUGCAUCACGAAAGUUGAGAGGCAUAUUCAUUUUUACCAAAAUGAGGAUAAACAAGAGAGUACUUUUAGUUGCUGACAGAAUAUAGUUUGGUGGUGAAUAUCUGGGUAAUUUGGUUGACUGUAAUGUUAGUUAACAUGUACAUUAACUAUCCUAUUUAGAUUCAAAAGGUAUUAUUUUCUUCAUUCUUAAGUAAAUAAAUUUAAUUAGUUGGAUAUGGUUUAUUGAAGGAACUGAAAAUUGCUGUAACUUUUUUUGCUUCCAUGUCCCUUUGCCAGAAGAUGAGGCACUACUCACGAAAGUGGAGCUUGAAAUUAAAUCUGUCAAGAAAGAUCUUGCCAUAGGUUCCAAUUGCUUCUCUUCUUAUCUUUACUACUAAUACUUCCAUCAAUAUUUGAAAACAUAUUUAAAAAUCUUAUUGGGCAGAGUCGAGUCAUAUAAUUUUUGUAUGUGUUUGUUUUCCUCCUUAAUGUUGCUUCUCAGUGGUAAGAGUAGAGGGGCGGGCCCAUUAUCCACCGAGUUUCGAAGGCUGCGGUUGGUCCAAAGGAUCGGCCCUAGACGGAUUUCUCGGUCAUCAAAAAAAUGACUUGGUGAAUUUUAGUUCAUUGCUAGAUUGACCAAGCAAUGUACAAUAUAUGGAUGGAUAUCUGAAGGACAAGUAGUGCAAGUCUCUUGAGCUAUGUUGCACAGACUCUCCAAAAUAUUGUCGCACCCGUGUUGGAUCCUCGAAAAAAUCCACUACUUUAGGAGGAUCCGACAUGCACCCGGAGAUAUUUUCAAAGAGUCUGAACAACAUAGCUCUUGAGCCAUUCGCUCAUUAAACAAUAUGCUGGUGAUUCUGCUUGGAGGCAUUUAAAUUAUAUUGGUCAAUAUAUAAGUUGCUAAAUAAAAAUUCUCCAUUAUCUCAUCCUGUGAUGAUAGAAUUUUACUAGAUCUCAGUAAUAAUAGUAUUACUGUGUGGCUUUGCAGAAUAUGAAAGGAGAGCAAGAAGUUACUUUGGUGAUUAGUAAAGUAACAACAGGUAGAAACGGCAGGAGACAGAAUAGUGUCUUUAUUGUAAGAGUUGAAUCAAAGCAAAAAUAAUCUGGUGCUAGCUCGAUGUUGGUGAAUGAUGAAUAUCGUGUAAUAUCUCAUGUUAUGUCUUUUUUAAGCUGUUAUCUUUUUAGCUUUUGAAGUUAGUAAUUUUGAGAAGCAAAGUAAUCGGUCAUACUAAAAAUCUUUAAUGUACUGUAUAUAACCAAAUGAAGUUGUAAUUUGUCUACAGCUUUUCAUUUAGCACCCAUUUAUAUUCAAUUUAUGCAUUCCAAUUAUUUAUAGCCUAAGUUUAUGCCUGUAUGAAGUACAUAUUAGAUUUUAGAGUAUGACCGAGUUAAGAGUAUAUCAUCUCAAGAGCCGCUCUCCAAUCUAGUUUAUAAUAGAAAAGCUCAAGUUUAGACGUG
rnacentral:lncRNA from 1 species